CAGUCGCCGCGGUAAUGCGUAGGGUGCGAGCGUUAAUCGGAAUUACUGGGCGUAAAGCGUGCGCAGGCGGUUGUGUAAGACAGGUGUGAAAUCCCCGGGCUUAACCUGGGAACUGCGCUUGUGACUGCACAGCUAGAGUAUGGCAGAGGGGGGUGGAAUUCCACGUGUAGCAGUGAAAUGCGUAGAGAUGUGGAGGAACACCGAUGGCGAAGGCAGCCCCCUGGGCCAAUACUGACGCUCAUGCACGAAAGCGUGGGGAGCAAACAGGAUUAGAUACCCCCGUAGUCCCUGUCUCUUAUAU
rnacentral:rRNA from 1 species